AGUGAACGCUGGCGGUAGGCCUAACACAUGCAAGUCGAACGGCAGCACAGUAAGAGCUUGCUCUUACGGGUGGCGAGUGGCGGACGGGUGAGGAAUACAUCGGAAUCUACUUUUUCGUGGGGGAUAACGUAGGGAAACUUACGCUAAUACCGCAUACUACCUACGGGUGAAAGCAGGGGAUCUUCGGACCUUGCGCGAUUGAAUGAGCCGAUGUCGGAUUAGCUAGUUGGCGGGGUAAAGGCCCACCAAGGCGACGAUCCGUAGCUGGUCUGAGAGGAUGAUCAGCCACACUGGAACUGAGACACGGUCCAGACUCCUACGGGAGGCAGCAGUGGGGAAUAUUGGACAAUGGGCGCAAGCCUGAUCCAGCCAUACCGCGUGGGUGAAGAAGGCCUUCGGGUUGUAAAGCCCUUUUGUUGGGAAAGAAAAGCAGCAGGUUAAUACCCCGCUGUUCUGACGGUACCCAAAGAAUAAGCACCGGCUAACUUCGU
rnacentral:rRNA from 1 species